rnacentral:misc_RNA from 1 species
GAAAUGCGAUAAGUAAUGUGAAUUGCAGAAUUCAGUGAAUUAUCGAAUCUCUGAACGCACCUUGCGCUCCUUGGUAUUCCUUGGAGCAUGCCUGUUUGAGUAUCAUGAAAUCUUCAAAGUAAAUCUUUUGUUAACUCAAUUGGUUUCUACUUUGGUAUUGGAGGUCUUUGCAGCUUCACACCUGCUCCUCUUUGUUCAUUAGCUGGAUCUCAGUGUUAUGCUUGGUUCCACUCGGCGUGAUAAGUUAUCUAUCGCUGAGGACACUGUAAAAGGUGGCCAAGGUAAAUGCAGAUGAACCGCUUCUAAUAGUCCAUUGACUUGGACAAUACUUUUAUGAUCUGAUCUCAAAUCAGGUAGGACUACCCGCUGAACUUAAGC